UGCAUAUUCCAAUAAGCGGAGGAAAAGAAACCAACAGGGAUUGCCUUAGUAGCGGCGAGUGAAGCGGCAAAAGCUCAAAUUUGAAAUCUGGCACUUUCAGUGUCCGAGUUGUAAUUUGAAGAAGGUAUCUUUGGGUCUGGCUCUUGUCUAUGUUUCUUGGAACAGAACGUCACAGAGGGUGAGAAUCCCGUGCGAUGAGAUGUCCCAGACCUAUGUAAAGUUCCUUCGAAGAGUCGAGUUGUUUGGGAAUGCAGCUCUAAGUGGGUGGUAAAUUCCAUCUAAAGCUAAAUAUUGGCGAGAGACCGAUAGCGAACAAGUACAGUGAUGGAAAGAUGAAAAGAACUUUGAAAAGAGAGUGAAAAAGUACGUGAAAUUGUUGAAAGGGAAGGGCUUGAGAUCAGACUUGGUAUUUUGUAUGUUACUCUCUCGGGGGUGGCCUCUACAGUUUACCGGGCCAGCAUCAGUUUGAGCGGUAGGAUAAGUGCAAAGAAAUGUGGCACUGCUUCGGUAGUGUGUUAUAGUCUUUGUCGAUACUGCCAGCUUAGACUGAGGACUGCGGCUUCGGCCUAGGAUGUUGGCAUAAUGAUCUUAAGUCGCCCGUCUUGA
rnacentral:rRNA from 1 species